GGCCGCGUAGCUCAGUUGGCUAGAGUGUUGGAGCGGGUUCAAAUCCCACCGAGGCCG
rnacentral:tRNA from 1 species